AAUUAGUUUUGAUACUUGAGAAGUGAAAUCAAAAAUCAGAUUCGAGGGUUUUUCAUGUCGGUGAUCGUGAUUUUUUAAAUUCGGAUUCUGAUGUGAGAGAGUAACGGAACAUGAGAGGGAAAAGAAAUGGACCUAAACAAUAAUGUUUA
rnacentral:sRNA from 1 species